GAUGAACGCUGGCGGCGUGCCUAAUACAUGCAAGUCGAGCGAACAGACGAGGAGCUUGCUCCUCUGACGUUAGCGGCGGACGGGUGAGUAACACGUGGAUAACCUACCUAUAAGACUGGGAUAACUUCGGGAAACCGGAGCUAAUACCGGAUAAUAUAUUGAACCGCAUGGUUCAAUAGUGAAAGACGGUUUUGCUGUCACUUACAGAUGGAUCCGCGCCGCAUUAGCUAGUUGGUAAGGUAACGGCUUACCAAGGCGACGAUGCGUAGCCGACCUGAGAGGGUGAUCGGCCACACUGGAACUGAGACACGGUCCAGACUCCUACGGGAGGCAGCAGUAGGGAAUCUUCCACAAUGGGCGAAAGCCUGACGGAGCAACGCCGCGUGAGUGAUGAAGGUCUUCGGAUCGUAAAACUCUGUUAUUAGGGAAGAACAAAUGUGUAAGUAACUAUGCACGUCUUGACGGUACCUAAUCAGAAAGCCACGGCUAACUACGUG
rnacentral:rRNA from 1 species